AGCAUCGCAGCCUCAUAGCCUCUCAUUCCCUUGUUAGAGUUUCGUGAGAAGGAGGUGAUGCACCAUUAUGAGGUUGAUACUGAUGCCGAGGUCUUGAAGUUUCUGGGGAGAACCAAAGGUAAAAUCUUUGAAGUUAGAUUACUAGACCAAGUAGCUUUUUGAUUCUCUUUUUUUCAGAUUAGAUCUUCUAUUAUUUAUAAAAACUCUUCUCUUUAUAGUAAAUGAUGGCAAUGAUUGCUUUCAAAAUUUGUGAUGAACCUGUGUGUUCACAAAUUCUUGUCAAAAAUGAUUUUGAAACUUGGAUUCAUUUUUUAUACCUAUUGGUACAAGCAUAUCAUGUAACCUCUUGGAGUUGAAAGGCUUGCCAUGAGGUAUAAUACAUGCUGAUUCAGAUUUGGAGUUAAGACCAUUAUGGUUGAGAAGCAGUUCAAGGUCAAAGAAGCAGAACCAUUGUAUUCUUAAGUGAGAUUAUGGAUCAGAAAGCAGGGGAUGGCAGCAGUGUGAAGAAAAUAAUAUCAUCAUGUGAUGUUGAGGCUUUGAAGAAGUGUUUGGAAGAGAAUAAGGGAGACUAUGUCAAAUGUCAGUCACAGAUUGAGGCUUUUAAAGCAUCAUGCUCGCUCAAGAAACCAAACCCCUAUUGAUUCUGUCAAUUCUUGUUUUCAUCUUGAAGUUCUAUGAUUGACAUUCAUGGUUU